UAUUAUAUUUUUAUUUUACAUUUUUCAUUUAUAUUUAUUGUGAAUUUAUAAGACUAAAUAAGACAAAGAAGAAAAUAGCAAAACUAACAACAACAACUUAGUUGGCUGUGUUCCAAUUUGUUUAUUGCCUGCUAAUUUAGGUUUUUUUGAACUUACAUCUAAACCAGAAUACCUACCGAAUGUUUUUUUGAUUAUUUGUAAUAAUAAAUUUGUUUUUCAGGUAUUGAGCUGGUCUAUUAGCUGCUACAUCUAAAAGCUUCAUUUCAUAGAAAGCAUCUAGGUCAUUGACUAUGAAAAAAAAUAAUUGUACUGGAGAAUACGCCUUGGUUCUUUCCAGUAUGACGUCCUUAACAAUUUUCACGCCAGCCUCGCUUAUAUUAUUCGUAUUUUGACCUCUGGUUAUCAAGCCUUUCCUAAAACAUAAUGCCCACUGCUCUUUCCUUUGGUAUAAAUUGGUUAAAUAUGUUAUAAAUAUUGGAAUAUAAGGUAUAGCGAUGAUGAAGAGGUACACCGUGGUUUGAAUCCCAUAGAUACCUCCAAGUAGCUUGUAGAACGUGAAAAAUACAAAGUAAAAGUAUUGAUUCAGGAAAAACUGAAUGCAAUGCACUUCUUUCAGCCGCUGAGUCAUCAGACAUAAAAAUCUUUGGACCUUUUGUACCUCUACCUGCCAGUGAUUUAGGUAUACCUCCAGCACAACUAUUUGUAUAAAUCAUGAAGACUUUACAACCAUACCUGUCCAUAUUUGCUGAAGCAUCUAUAAAAAGAAUUUCUCCACAUUCAUUUAAUUCGCAACUAAUUCUGCUCAUUAAAGGAGUGACUAUUGCUAUGGCAAAGUUUCCAUUCUCAAGUUCUUUCAUAGCAGCUGUGUCAGACAUGCAUUCAGUAUUAUAUUCUUGUAUUGCAUCCUUUAGAGAUGAAAUCAUUUGCUCACCAUGUGAUGGCGUUUUACCUUCCUCAAAUAAUUUCAAAAACUUGGCUUUUAUUUCCUCAGAUGGUAUUCUGUGUUUCAUGACAUCAGCCCUUAAAAUAUGGUGGUUAUGGGUGUGUUUCAACAGAACCCUGGCAUAUGUUUUGAAACUAUUGGAUGAAGAAUUGUCAUCGUUCCUAGAUUAUAAAUAAAAAUUAAUUCAAAUACAUUUGUUUAUUAAUUGAACUUACAACGUAAUAUGCUCAGACAACAAAUCAUUAUCUUCGUCUUUUAAUAUUUGUAUACCCAAUGUCGCUUUACAGUCGAAAUGCUUUUCACUUGGAUUUGAAUUAGCCUUUGGUCUUGUGUUGUGAUGACAUCUGUAUCGUUUCUAUUUAAAAUUCAACAAAAAAUAAUAAAAUGUAUUUAUACACA
rnacentral:misc_RNA from 1 species